UGCCAAUAUAAGAGCCGGAUAAACCAGAAAGGUAAAAGCAGUCUGUAGCAAGACAAGGUUAAAUUUCACUUUAGCAGCUAGUUUUGAACUCACAUGAAUAGAAUAACACAUUAGCAUCAAAUCAAAACAUGGAAGAGGAUUUAUGUCAGUUACCCGAAUUGCAGAAUAAGAGAAGUGACCAAGAUCAGCAAACAUCGCCUCAGACCCUGCAUGGAUGGCAUUUAUUGGUUCGUCAGUUGUCACAAUGAGCCAAACUCAAGGUAUUGGUAUUAGUUAUCCAUAUACAGCUACUUUCAGAUGGUCUACUAAUGAUUUAGCUCGUAGAAGAAAGAAACGGAUAGAAUACAGAUUUAUUGUUAUCUGGCGUAUUGCUACUAUUAUAGCCUUGAAAAUUAAAGCAUGCUAAAUGUUCUGCUCAAAAUGAUAGGAGUCCUUCCUUGAGCAUCAUGUGAGUACAACUUUUGAAGUUACAAUCUAGUCAUAUCAACUUAUAUGGAUAUUCACUAGCAGGUUAAAUCUAUGAUAAAUGUUGAAAGGCUGCCCCACUUGCCAAAAAUACUAGAUCCACUAACAUCAGAUAAUGAUUUAUCGACUGUGAAUUAGCUUAGACAUGAGCAAAAAUAACUAAUGUCCCAGACAUGGAUUAUUUUGAGUAAGGAGAUUAUACUGAACCUAAAAACUGUGAUGUGUA
rnacentral:lncRNA from 1 species